rnacentral:lncRNA from 1 species
AUUAAAAAAUGAAUAUUUUCCUAAUUGUGCUCAUAAUGUGGAAAUUUUAUAAAAUUAUGCAAAUAUUUUUGAAGUUCCCUUAUAGUUUAUAAGGAUAAUGGUAUAUUAUUAAUAAGAAAGGGUGUAUAUUUCAUUUUUUUUAAAUCCUAUUUUUCAGAAAUAUUAUUUGAGUUUGCAGAGAUAUGAGUUAAAUAACUAAACACAAAUUGCCAGCGUGGAUUGUUGAGAGACUGUUUUCCAUGGUUGUCUUGCAUUUCUGAACAUCUUGAGAUGAGGCAAUUCUGCCUGUUGGUCUGAGCUGUCUUUCUAAAGAUGCCUGUAUGCUAAAUGGGUUUGUAAUACAUGGAUAAAUAUCUAUUGCCUUGAGGCAAAGGGCAGAUUUGCUUAUAGGAUUGGAAUGUGGAGAUAGUGUUUCCCUCUGUAGCAGACAGUGAAUGUGUUUACUCUCCAGUUCAAUAAAUGCAGUGCCUGAAUUCAAAGCACAGAACGAGAAUGCUAAGUCAUGAUUGUUUUCUAAGCUGAGGGUCCCUAUCCUUUAAUGCAAACCACUUCAUAUAUAGGCAUCCACUGGGCCUACAUAGCCUUGAAUCUAUGAGAUUUGGCUAGAAAUCAUGUGUUGAUAUUCACGUUGAUUGCUGUGCUGUGAGUAACGGGGUCCUUUCUCUCUGACUCAUGAGUGUUGUGUCUUCUGCCAGUAACUAUGAAAUUGUGGCAGGCUAACUUGUUGACUGGCUGGUAAGGUAAAAUUUCAGACCCUUGUUAUUUCUUGACGUUUUCGUGUGAAAAAGUGAAUGCUCAUAGUGAGAUGGCUUUUUUUGAAGAUUUGGUAGACAAUUUAUAGGACUUAAGGGAGUCCAUAGAAAUUAGUAGCAAACAUGUACAUCAAUUUUAAGGAAAACUGGCGAUAUGCUCCAGGAUUUUGUUGACUUUUAGAAAAGAGGAAUUGAGACGUGAGUGUUGGAAAAUCGUUCAAAAAUCAGUCUUCUGAGUGUUGUUGUCUUGGUUGGUGGUAACUCUUCUCCCAGAAGAGGAACUUUCUUGCUGUCUGGUAUUCAGAUAAGUUUGCUCCACUGCAAUCAUUAGUACUAUGAUUUAUCCUGGGUGAGCAGAAGGUUCUGACUUUUCUCUCACUCCGUCACUUGAAUAGAACACAUCAUUUCUGUCAUAGUGGAAAAACAGCAACAACCUUAGGCACUUGUGAAGGAAACUCUUCAGACCAAGAAGUCUUCUGGAAACAUCAGGAGGAGGACCCUGAUACUGUCCCUCCCAGACAAACACAUAGCAGCAAUUAUGGAUGACUUUUGCACAUGCAAUUCCAUAGCCAUUUCUCAAUUGUUCUGUGUAGCAGAUGAAUGCAACCUGGGUGAUGGAGUAGACAGAAAGGACAGUCUUGGAUACGUGUCUUCUAAUUGAACUAUGUUGAUAUUCAAUACUUUAAACUGAACUAGGAAUUUAAAGACCAGCUAGCUAUCUGGAAAAUCACAUUGGAAUCAUUGACUGAUAUAGGUCUCAUCUGGGAAGACUCAAUUGUUAUGCUCAACGUAAUGUUUCCAAGGUCACCAUAUGUGACCUAGGACUGAACAUCUUAUGUAAAAAUAAAGCAAUUUGCUUGCCUCUUUCCUGGAAACAUAACCUUAAACCAAAGAGGUUGCUAUAGGAGUUUAAAGAAGCACAAGCAGUAGAUCAUGUAGCCCUCAGAUGACUACAUAUUCCUCCCCCAAAUGAGGCUUCUAAUGGUCUUUGUGGGAGGUUUCUUGUAGGAUAAGUGACUGAUUACUUAUGCUUACCAUUUGGGAAAUUAUCUCUACAAUGGGAGUCAUCAAAUUAGAAAAGACAGUAGAAAGAUUCUUUCUGACGUUAGCUGAAGUGAUCAGUAACACCUCUUCAGUCCCCAAAGUGAUUUAGAUCAGUCUCAACUCUCUGGCCAGGGUUGUUAUGAAUUAUGUAAUUUCUCUACUUUUUGUUCUCACAAACCAAGUUGAAGUCUGUGAAAUAGUUUAUGGGAAUUUUUUUUUUCUUGGAUCCGGCUAGAUGUGGAACUCAGUGGGUGAGGCAUUGCUGAGGUCAGUAUUG